CCUGCCCAUUCUUUCCCCCACAGGGUAAUUAUUCAUUUUCUUACUGAGUUGUAAGAGUAUAUUUUAUGCCUUAAGGAAAUGAGUUCUUUAUCACGUAUAUUUUCCCAGUUUCCUACUUAGCUUGCCUAAAGGAACCUGCAGGACGGUUACGUCCCGUUUGUCUGUGCUUUUCUUUUUCAAAGGUGACCGCAGGCGAGGACACGCUCAGACGUUUUCCGAAGCGCAUGUGAGCGAUGCAAUAUUGCUUAUCGAAACGUCGGGUAGCAGGACGUUGAGAGAAUUAUUGUAAGAAAAAGGAUCAUGCCCUGAGCCAAACGCAGACUCUCAACCACUGAGCCACCCAGGGGUCCCAUGGAUCUCCUUUCUAUUUGCUAGAUAAGAUGCUG
rnacentral:lncRNA from 1 species